AAAACUCUAAAAGGAGGAAGGAGCAAAACAUAUCAAAUUUUCCCCAACCCUAGCACAAUUUUUCCACCAUCUCCAAAAGAGAACCCUUCCCCAUUUUUAGAAACCAGCGACUCUCCCUCCGUCACUCAGAUCAGAAGCAGAGACGAACUAUUCUACCGCACGAAAAACUUCGCCGCCUAAUUCAUCUUCUCCAAAAAUCGGACAGACCUUACUCUUUCUCUUCUAAAAAUCAGUCGAUACACACGCAUCUGAAGGCUCGCACACUAGAAGAACUAAGCUUAGAGCUAGAAACAAAAAAUAUUCAAAAAUUUAAAAACUCAAAAAGAAGAGAUAUGAAAACAAGCUUUGGGGAAUGAUUUUUUUUUUGGUUUUAAAGGCUGCCGAAAGUUGUUGAAUUUGCUGCUUCUACUUUUUGCUGAGUUCCGUUUGGGUUGGCUUCUGGUCUUUAGUCUAUUUGUUCAAGUUUUUCUUUGUUUGCCCAGGAUGCAGAAUGGGUGAAUGCAAUGCAAGAUUGGAAGCAAUUAGACUCCUUAUAGCCUUUGCUGCUUACAUGAAAUUCACUCUCCAUCAAAUGAAUGUCAAGAGCGCCUUCCUCAAUGGCUAUUUAAAAGAAGAAGUGUUUGUCAAGCAACCUUCGGUCUUUGAAAGCAAGGAAUGUCCGGAUCAUGUGUACAAGUUUGACAAGGCACUUUAUGGACUUAAGCAGGCUCCAAGAGCAUAGUAUAAAAGACUAUCAAAAUUCUUGCUUGAGGAUGACUACAAGAGAGGUAAAAUUGACAAUACUUUAUUCUUGAAAGAAAAAGGUAAAAAUCUCUUGGUAGUUCAGAUAUAUGUUGAUGAUAUAAUCUUUGGAGCAAAUAUUGAUAAGCUCGGUAGAGAAUUUGCUAAACUAAUAGGGAGUGAAUUUGAAAUAAGUAUGAUGGGUGAGUUUAAUUUCUUUUUAGGCUUACAAAUUAAACAAAACUCAAAUGGAACUAUGAUCCAUCAACAGAAUUAUGUGAAAGAGUGACUUAAAAGGUUUAAAAUGGAAAGUUCCAAUGAAAUUGAUACUCCUAUAGUAACAACCACAAAAUUAGAUAUAGAUGAACCGGUUCAUCUAUUGAUCAGAAGUUGUAUAGGGGAAUGAUUGGUUCUUUGUUAUAUCUCACUGCCAGCAGACCUAACAUUGUUUUUAGUGUAGGCCUUCGUGCUCGAUUUCAGGAAAAUCCAAAUGAGUCUCACUUGAUUCUGUCAAGAGAAUCUUGAGAUACCUAAAGGUCACCACUGACCUUUGUCUAUGAUAUCAAAAAGGUAGUAACUUCAACUUAGUGGGAUAUGCUGAUACUGAUUAUUCAGGUUUUCUUGUGGAUAGAAAGAGAACCUUAGGUAUGAGACAAUUUCUUGGCUCAUGUCUUGUGUCUUCGGCUACUAAAGAUCAAAAUUCUGUGGUCUUAUCUACUUUUGAAGGUUGUAUUCUCAUAUUUUGUGAUAAUACUAGUGCAAUUAGUAUGACCAAGAACCCAGUUCAUCAUAAGAGAACUUACCACACAGAUGUUAGGCAUCAUCUUUUGAGGGACAACUAUGAGAAUGGGUUGAUCACUGUGGAAUUUUGUACUACGGACAAGCAAAUAUCUGACAUCUUCAAAAAAGCUCUAAGUAGAGAUCACUUUGAAAGGAACAUGUUAGAAUUAGGAAUGAUUAAGAUCAUCUAAAAGGAACCAGUUCUAACUCAAAUAUUUGGUUAGAAAAUUGGGAAUUUUUGUACAUAAUUAGAGUAGAUUUUGCUCAGUCUCAUGCUUUCAUCAGUAUACUCUUGUGCCGUGUGCUAAAAUGACUCAUUAAUCUCUAAUGAUAAUAUCUCUAUUUUCUGGGAAAGUUCAGACUUACACAAGAGAUUUCUCAGUGAAGAACCUAGUUUAUCAAUAUUACUUGGUAUGUAUUCUCCACCCUACAUAUUUUGAAAUAAUUAUAUUUGGAUCAUGAUUAAGAGAAGAGUCCCAUUUAAUCCCAAACCCUUUUGAACUUAUCCAUUAUGAAAUGAACCGGUUUCGUUCAAAAGUAGUCCAAAUCUGCAUUAAGUGCCUAGAUUCUAGUGACACUCUUCAACGUCUUUUCAAACAAAAUUCAGUUUGAUUAGACUUCUGGAAAAGGCGGCUGUUACCCAAUUAAACACCCCCUUCUUAAAUUAAUAAGGCCUUAGUGUUUCUUCAUUCUAAUUUUCAAGCCAUCAAAAUUCUCUCCAUCUUCUCUCAUCAUGCAAACACACUCAACCUCAUCUUUUCUCCUACCUAAGCAUAGAAAUGGCUAACCACUCUAAGAAUCCCUCAUCGCCACCCAAGAAAAUCACACCCACACUACCUACUACACCUUCAACCACUCCCAUCUCUAAGAAAGGAAGGGUAAAGAUGGUGGAGAUGCGGGGUAUGAGAGAAAUAGGGGGAAAUGGGUCUAGAGGAGCUGCUAAGGGGUUGGUUCAAUUAGGGAAGGAUGCUCAAGAACCUAUUUCUUUUGAGCGGGAAACCCUCGCAGACCUAGUGAGAAAUGUAUCUGACAGUUACAAUCCUAAAAGAAAAAAGGAGUUUAGGAGUGAAAGUCCCAGGUACUGCCAGGGCAAAUAAGAAAAGAAAGACUGCUUCAUCAAUCCCUAUAGAGACUUCUCCUACAAGAGGAAGAGCUACAAGGAGUCAGAAAAAGCAAAGUAAGGCUGAGCUGGAAAAAGCCUUAGAAGAAAGUAAGAAGAAAGCUUCUGCUAAGGGAAAGAAGAAGGUGGUUGAGCCUGUUAAGGCAGUUGAAAUUGAUGAGAUGGACCUGGUCCUUUGGGAUAAAGAAGAGACAGAAGACAUGAAGGUUGUGACUCCAAAGGCUAAGAAAGUCAAGACUUCCACAAAGAAGUUUGUAUCAAAAACAAAGUCUGCUAAGCCAUCUACUUUUGCUAAAAGAACCAGGUCUGCAUUGAAAUCAAAUCAAGUGAAAAUAGUGGAGAAUGAAGAAUGGAGUGGAGCAUAAGAAGAAUAUGAUGCUGAGAAGGACAAGAUGGUUAAAUUUGGGAAGAGAACCAUCUUGAAAGGUAGACUCCUCAUGGACUUGGAGUAGGAACGGAUGUUAAUGCUGCUGGAAAAGUUACAGUUGCAAGGUUGGAAGGACAUUGUCCUUCAGAUGGAUGGAAAGCUAGCUAGAAGUGAGAUUGUGGAGUUCAUGGAGAAUGUGAGAUCAAAGAUGGUAGGGUCACCAAUGUGCUUAAGAGGGUGGCAGUGAGGUUUGAUGAUAAAGAAUUGAGAGAGAUCUUAGGUGUACCGGCUGAAAAGUACAAUGAUUAUAAGAAGCUUAAAUGGCCAAGUCUAGAGAAUCUCCCCACUGCCCUUGCCAUUACUAGGAUGUUUGGUGACAAUGAAGAGGAGCUUGAGCCCAAGGCUAUUUACAAAAGUGAGAUGAAGCCGCCUCACAAAGUGUUGUUCGAAUUUUUUAACAAAGUUGUGCUGCCUAGGUAGGAAAGGAGGCACAUUGCCAUAUUCAUGGACCUGAUCCUUAUGGAAUGUCUGGACAGUGGGAGGCAAAUAAAUUGGCCUGGAUUUAUCAUCCAGCUUUUUGACAGGGUUCUAAAUGGCACCAAAACUCACACCGUACCCUAUGGUUUUAUUCUCACUAUUGUACUUGCACACUUCAAGGUACCCAUCAAGAAAUGGGAAGUUGGUACAAGCAAGAAUCAUUUUGGGGCAAACACUCUAACUGCUUGCGACUAUGAAGUCCAAACCACUCCCAAAGAACCUGGUUUAUCCAAAAAGGUACUAGUGAACAUCAAAAUGUGAGCUUUGGUGCAGGAAAGUGGGGCUAAGGAUGUUGAUAUUGAUAGGCUGAAGAAGAGGUUGGCAGAAGUGGAGACUAAGAGAGAUGCUCUCAGAGCUGAGCUAGCAAAAGAAAAGGAGAAGAAUGAUGGCAUUCUUCAGGAUAUGCUGAAACUGCUUCAAGCCAAAAACCAAGAACCUAGUCCUUUCUAGCCUUAAGCCUCCUAGCCUAGUUAGAUCAACCAGUGACCCAGGUGAGAUUUUUUUGUUGCUUCUUUUGCUCAAGAUCUAGUGUUUUAUUUCUUUUUAUGCUUUAUGGUAGGAACUUAUCAAUUAAUGAAAUUCACUGCUUCUAUACUAGAUGGCUAAUAUCCUUAGAUUGAUAGAUGAUACUUGAUUCCAUGAUUGCAUUUGAAGUAGCCCUAGUGGUUAUGAGUAAUUUCUAUUAAAAUCUAAUUAUUUAACAUAAUUAUGCAACUUUUCGAUGAUGCAAAAAGGGGGAAUUAGGUUGUGCUUUUACUUUGGACUGUGAUGUUUAUAACCAAAUGAACCUGGUCCUUGAUGAUUGGUGACUUCAAAAAGGUAAAGUGUUCUAACUUUGCGUUGAUGUUGAGUUGAUUGAAACAGGGCCUACACUUAUGAAAAACACAGAGUUUGUCAUCAUCAUAAAGGAAAAAUUUGUUGGCCGAGGUGAUGUUGGUUUUGAUGAUUGAUAAAUGAACUCAAGCAUGAACCAGGUCCAUCCACAGUGUACACAGAAGCAUAAGGGAUGCACGUAAGGGAGAUAAACUUAACUUGUUAUAUCUGAUAUCUCCUGAUAAAAAAGGUUGCAUAAUUGGUAAGGAGAAAGACUCCUUAUUCAAAGAGAACACUAUCCAAGAUAAUGAAGGAAUUAGAAGUUGAAGUUAACUAAAACUCUUCCAUCAAGGAAGAGUAUAGCAUUGGACUCUAGUUAUUUCUUAUUCUACUAACUCUAUAAAUUACAGGAUGUUCUCACUUUACAGGUAUGCCCAAAAGCUGAAGUUAAACGUGAGUUGAGAGUAAAAUAGCAAGGCAUUUUGCAAGCAAUUCUUGUGUGCGAACCUGAAGCUAC